GGCUCAGAUUGAACGCUGGCGGCAGGCUUAACACAUGCAAGUCGAACGGUAACAUAAAGAAGCUUGCUCUUUGAUGACGAGUGGCGGACGGGUGAGUAAUGCUUGGGAAUCUGGCUUAUGGAGGGGGAGUAACUACGGGAAACUGUAGCUAAUACCGCGUAGAAUCGGGAGAUGAAAGUGUGGGACCUUCGGGCCACAUGCCAUAGGAUGAGCCCAAGUGGGAUUAGGUAGUUGGUGAGGUAAAGGCUCACCAAGCCGACGAUCUCUAGCUGGUCUGAGAGGAUGACCAGCCACACUGAGACUGAGACACGGCCCAGACUCCUACGGGAGGCAGCAGUGGGGAAUAUUGCGCAAUGGGGGCAACCCUGACGCAGCCAUGCCGCGUGAAUGAAGAAGGCCUUCGGGUUGUAAAGUUCUUUCGGUAGCGAGGAAGGCAUUUAGUUUAAUAGACUAGGUGAUUGACGUUAACUACAGAAGAAGCACCGGCUAACUCCGUG
rnacentral:rRNA from 1 species